rnacentral:rRNA from 1 species
UACGUAGGGGGCAAGCGUUGUCCGGAUUCAUUGGGCGUAAAGAGCGUGUAGGCGGCCAGGUAGGUCGGUUGUGAAAACUGGAGGCUCAACCUUCAGAGGUCGACCGAAACCAUCUGGCUAGAGUCCGGGAGAGGAGAGUGGAAUUCCUGGUGUAGCGGUGAAAUGCGCAGAUAUCAGGAAGAACACCCGUGGCGAAAGCGGCUCUCUGGAACGGUACUGAUGCUGAGACGCGAAAGCGUGGGGAGCGAACAGG